AAGCGGUGGAGCAUGUGGUUUAAUUCGAAACAACGCGCAGAACCUUACCAAUCCUUGCAAUAUACAGGAAACAACUGUUACAAGUUGUCUUUUGGUAUACAGGCGCUGCAUGGCUGUCGUCAGUUCGUGGCGUGAGCUGUUGGGUUAAGUCCUAGAACGAACGCAACCCUCUUAGCAUGUGCAAUAAUGUUGCCUUGCUAAACUGCCAGUGACAUACGG
rnacentral:rRNA from 1 species